UACGAAGGGGGCUAGCGUUGCUCGGAAUCACUGGGCGUAAAGCGCACGUAGGCGGAUUGUUAAGUCAGGGGGUGAAAUCCUGGAGCUCAACUCCAGAACUGCCUUUGAUACUGGCGAUCUCGAGUCCGGGAGAGGUGAGUGGAACUGCGAGUGUAGAGGUGAAAUUCGUAGAUAUUCGCAAGAACACCAGUGGCGAAGGCGGCUCACUGGCCCGGUACUGACGCUGAGGGUGCGAAAGCGUGGGGAGCAAACAGG
rnacentral:rRNA from 1 species